rnacentral:rRNA from 1 species
GGGUUGUGAGGUUAAGCGACUAAGCGUACACGGUGGAUGCCCUGGCAGUCAGAGGCGAUGAAGGACGUGCUAAUCUGCGAUAAGCGUCGGUAAGGUGAUAUGAACCGUUAUAACCGGCGAUUUCCGAAUGGGGAAACCCAGUGUGUUUCGACACACUAUCAUUAACUGAAUCCAUAGGUUAAUGAGGCGAACCGGGGGAACUGAAACAUCUAAGUACCCCGAGGAAAAGAAAUCAACCGAGAUUCCCCCAGUAGCGGCGAGCGAACGGGGAGCAGCCCAGAGCCUGAAUCAGUGUGUGUGUUAGUGGAAGCGUCUGGAAAGGCGCGCGAUACAGGGUGACAGCCCCGUACACAAAAAUGCACAUGCUGUGAGCUCGAUGAGUAGGGCGGGACACGUGGUAUCCUGUCUGAAUAUGGGGGGACCAUCCUCCAAGGCUAAAUACUCCUGACUGACCGAUAGUGAACCAGUACCGUGAGGGAAAGGCGAAAAGAACCCCGGCGAGGGGAGUGAAAAAGAACCUGAAACCGUGUACGUACAAGCAGUGGGAGCACGCUUAGGCGUGUGACUGCGUACCUUUUGUAUAAUGGGUCAGCGACUUAUAUUCUGUAGCAAGGUUAACCGAAUAGGGGAGCCGAAGGGAAACCGAGUCUUAACUGGGCGUUAAGUUGCAGGGUAUAGACCCGAAACCCGGUGAUCUAGCCAUGGGCAGGUUGAAGGUUGGGUAACACUAACUGGAGGACCGAACCGACUAAUGUUGAAAAAUUAGCGGAUGACUUGUGGCUGGGGGUGAAAGGCCAAUCAAACCGGGAGAUAGCUGGUUCUCCCCGAAAGCUAUUUAGGUAGCGCCUCGUGAAUUCAUCUCCGGGGGUAGAGCACUGUUUCGGCAAGGGGGUCAUCCCGACUUACCAACCCGAUGCAAACUGCGAAUACCGGAGAAUGUUAUCACGGGAGACACACGGCGGGUGCUAACGUCCGUCGUGAAGAGGGAAACAACCCAGACCGCCAGCUAAGGUCCCAAAGUCAUGGUUAAGUGGGAAACGAUGUGGGAAGGCCCAGACAGCCAGGAUGUUGGCUUAGAAGCAGCCAUCAUUUAAAGAAAGCGUAAUAGCUCACUGGUCGAGUCGGCCUGCGCGGAAGAUGUAACGGGGCUAAACCAUGCACCGAAGCUGCGGCAGCGACGCUUAUGCGUUGUUGGGUAGGGGAGCGUUCUGUAAGCCUGCGAAGGUGUGCUGUGAGGCAUGCUGGAGGUAUCAGAAGUGCGAAUGCUGACAUAAGUAACGAUAAAGCGGGUGAAAAGCCCGCUCGCCGGAAGACCAAGGGUUCCUGUCCAACGUUAAUCGGGGCAGGGUGAGUCGACCCCUAAGGCGAGGCCGAAAGGCGUAGUCGAUGGGAAACAGGUUAAUAUUCCUGUACUUGGUGUUACUGCGAAGGGGGGACGGAGAAGGCUAUGUUGGCCGGGCGACGGUUGUCCCGGUUUAAGCGUGUAGGCUGGUUUUCCAGGCAAAUCCGGAAAAUCAAGGCUGAGGCGUGAUGACGAGGCACUACGGUGCUGAAGCAACAAAUGCCCUGCUUCCAGGAAAAGCCUCUAAGCAUCAGGUAACAUCAAAUCGUACCCCAAACCGACACAGGUGGUCAGGUAGAGAAUACCAAGGCGCUUGAGAGAACUCGGGUGAAGGAACUAGGCAAAAUGGUGCCGUAACUUCGGGAGAAGGCACGCUGAUAUGUAGGUGAAGUCCCUUGCGGAUGGAGCUGAAAUCAGUCGAAGAUACCAGCUGGCUGCAACUGUUUAUUAAAAACACAGCACUGUGCAAACACGAAAGUGGACGUAUACGGUGUGACGCCUGCCCGGUGCCGGAAGGUUAAUUGAUGGGGUUAGCGGUAACGCGAAGCUCUUGAUCGAAGCCCCGGUAAACGGCGGCCGUAACUAUAACGGUCCUAAGGUAGCGAAAUUCCUUGUCGGGUAAGUUCCGACCUGCACGAAUGGCGUAAUGAUGGCCAGGCUGUCUCCACCCGAGACUCAGUGAAAUUGAACUCGCUGUGAAGAUGCAGUGUACCCGCGGCAAGACGGAAAGACCCCGUGAACCUUUACUAUAGCUUGACACUGAACAUUGAGCCUUGAUGUGUAGGAUAGGUGGGAGGCUUUGAAGUGUGGACGCCAGUCUGCAUGGAGCCGACCUUGAAAUACCACCCUUUAAUGUUUGAUGUUCUAACGUUGACCCGUAAUCCGGGUUGCGGACAGUGUCUGGUGGGUAGUUUGACUGGGGCGGUCUCCUCCUAAAGAGUAACGGAGGAGCACGAAGGUUGGCUAAUCCUGGUCGGACAUCAGGAGGUUAGUGCAAUGGCAUAAGCCAGCUUGACUGCGAGCGUGACGGCGCGAGCAGGUGCGAAAGCAGGUCAUAGUGAUCCGGUGGUUCUGAAUGGAAGGGCCAUCGCUCAACGGAUAAAAGGUACUCCGGGGAUAACAGGCUGAUACCGCCCAAGAGUUCAUAUCGACGGCGGUGUUUGGCACCUCGAUGUCGGCUCAUCACAUCCUGGGGCUGAAGUAGGUCCCAAGGGUAUGGCUGUUCGCCAUUUAAAGUGGUACGCGAGCUGGGUUUAGAACGUCGUGAGACAGUUCGGUCCCUAUCUGCCGUGGGCGCUGGAGAACUGAGGGGGGCUGCUCCUAGUACGAGAGGACCGGAGUGGACGCAUCACUGGUGUUCGGGUUGUCAUGCCAAUGGCACUGCCCGGUAGCUAAAUGCGGAAGAGAUAAGUGCUGAAAGCAUCUAAGCACGAAACUUGCCCCGAGAUGAGUUCUCCCUGACUCCUUGAGAGUCCUGAAGGAACGUUGAAGACGACGACGUUGAUAGGCCGGGUGUGUAAGCGCAGCGAUGCGUUGAGCUAACCGGUACUAAUGAACCGUGAGGCUUAACCUUACAACGCCGAAG